CGCCGCACGUCCUGGCCGACGAACUCCUUAAAGGGGCAGUAUCACCAACCCACCCCUCAUCACACCACACCCCCCCCCCCCCCAACCACACCACACCACACCACCCACCCUACCCAACCUACCCACUCGGACAAGUCCGGAGCGCCGCACGUCCUGGCCGACGAACUCCUUAAAGGGGCAGUGUCAAGAAAAGAAGGAGGUGCUGCUCGACAUGCUGAAUUCCUCCAGCAGUUUGAGUUUUCCUCCAGAUUCCAGCAUCUGAAGUCUCUUGUGUCACCACUCUGCAUCAAUGGCUUAAGGGGGACCAGUGGAUGUACAAUACCUACAUUUACAGAAGGCAUUUGAUAAAUUGUAGCAUCAAAGAUUAUUACAGAAUAUACAAGGCCAAGGCAAGAUAGUCUCGACCACUGACUCAUCCCCAACCACUGUUACUGAACAUUUGCGUUAACAACCACUGUGAGCUGCAGGUGAUUACUUGAUAAGUGGGAUAAUUUGAGCAAAUGAGCAUGAGCAAUAUUAGUUAUUCCACUUAACAAAUUUCCAUAUGGUGUUCCGUUCAGCAAACCUGACCAACGACUGGUGAAAAUGCUUACCUGAUCCAUUGAAUUUGACUGCCAAACCUCAGAGUUUAUCCUUCAAUGUCUCUGCUUGGAUUUAAAAUGUUGAUGUGUGAAUUACCUGAGUAACUGCUAACAUUAUUAUUUGAAAGAUAAUGAAUUUUGAUUACUUUAACCUAAUAAAACAACUUUUAAAUAAAACAAUUGUUGGCUGUAACUCUGAAAACAUUGGUGUCCUGCAGAGGGCUCCCUCACACCAGAAGCAUAUUCACAU